rnacentral:RNase_P_RNA from 1 species
GCUACCAACCGGGUUAUCGUUUCCGCCAUUGGCGGGAGAGGAAAGUCUGGACAGCACAGAGCAGUGUACCGGUGAAUAGCCGGGCUCCGACUUCUCGGAGACAGAUAGUGCCACAGAAAAUUACUACCUGCAUUCAUUUGUGAAAGCGAAUGAAUUAAUCCGCUCACGCGGAGGGCUAAGGUGAAAAUGUGGGGUAAGAGCCCACGGCUCGAUACGGCGACGUAUCGGGCGGGUAAACCUUGCACGCUGAAAUGCCACGUAUACCAUCUUCAAGGGCUGCUCGUCCAAUGAUUAGCAAUGAUCAGAGAUGGAGGGUGGGCAGAUUGAUUCCGAUAUGUAAAUAACGGAACAGAUAAAUGAUAACCGUCCCGCGUGCGGGAGACAGGAUCCGGCUUACAGGUUGGUAGCUUUU